rnacentral:piRNA from 1 species
UGACUGUUCUUCCAGAAGACCCAGGU